CAAGGGGCAACGGAGACGGACUUACACUGUGGCCAUGGCUUCCAGAAUUUGCCGAACUCCGGCUACAUGGCGAUGAAAACUUUCCGGUGGGAGGUCGCCGCCGGAGGCUAAGCUUACCAUGAAGGGGCUGUAGAGUGCUUCGUACGUACUAGUCCGGUUAGUCUCCAAAAUUGCACCGUGCCGCAAGGAACGAGCACCGAACUGCUUCCACAGUGUGCGAGCUGGAGAAUCCAUGGCGCUCUCUGGUUUUGGAGAAAAUGGGUGUUUCUUGGUGUUGGAGAAAAUGGAGAGCUAAAUUGGGGAAAUGUUUAUCGUCUGAGGCUGCAUGAACUCUGGCUUGGCCCUUGACACCUGCUACCAGAGGAUUUCUUUUACUCAACAUAGAAAUAGUCAAUUUCUAUUAUGACUAUGAUGCUUGGGUGGAUGAGUCAAAAGCCUUAUUUUCUUUCUAAUUCUGUAUUCAUCUUUACAGUUUGGAAUGAGAUCCACAAGUCGUCACUGUCGUGUUUUUCACUUAGAGAGCAACAUUGGCUAUUCUCAGCUGUUCCGCACCCCCCUCCCCUCAAAUUUGCUUACUAAUUCAUGUCCGGCUGUAUCCUGAAUGAAGUAGCACGAUUCUUCAUGGUAGUAUGACGGAUAAGAUGCAUAUGUGGAUAAUUUUAUAUGAGGACAACAAUGAGUGCUGCUAUAUACUUGAUUGUUAAAGAAAAGAGACUUUAUCUCCAGACUUAUGGAGACUGGAGAGAUUGAUCCCAAGUACUGAGAGACAUGGCAAAAGGAUUGAAGGUAACCUGCUUAUUAUGCUACUGUUCAGGAGGAGACAACACACAUGAUGCUUUUCAUUUGGCUGAUGCAGUUGCAAACUUCUGGGCUAGAGUCCCACUAAUUUCCAUGUUCUGUGGUUGGUCUCUCUUUUUUUUGUAGGUAAAAGAGAAGAAGGAAAAUAGAAAGAGAGGAGUCCAGCUAUUCCCACAAGCAUAUUUGCUUUUCAUUCCCUGUUCUUUUAGUGUUCCUGUCGUCGUUUUCACAGCUUUGUAACGUCAAAUGCAAGAGUCGUCAAAAUUUGUAUUCUUGGAACCAAACUUGACGGUUUUAAUCUAAACCCCAUCACUUAACGCCUCUUCAAUUGCAUGGCUGAGUGAUCGAUAAUGCUAAGUUUCCAUAAGCUCUAGUGUCAGUGUGUGUAAGAUGCUAAACUUUUCUCAGUUUAACAUUUCUUACCUUACAA